CGCCUGCGCCCGCACCCCGCCCGCUCCCCGCGCCUGCGCCCGCGCCCGCGCGCGCCGCGCUGCCGCCUGCGCCCCGCUCGCACCCGGCCCGUCGGCUUAUUCCAGUGACAGGGGUGAAAGGCCGCCCUCGAAUCUUCUCCUUCCGUGAGCUCAGACACGCAGGAAACGCUGUUCGCCAUGGCGCCUGCCUCGACCUCCACCGCCGCCCUAUCCCUAAAAGAGUACCUCAAGAGGUACCAAUCCGACGCCGACGACCCCAACAAGGCGAAGGCGAAGGCGAAGAAGAAGAAGCGGAAGUCCAAGCCCCACUCGACGGGCGGCGUCCUCGUCGUCGACGAAGACCCCGUGUGGCAAAAGCCCGUUCGGAUCGAAGAGGACGAAGCCGACUCCCCCGGAGAAGAGCAACCUCAGAUCGACGAGGAUAUAGAGGUGAAGCGCAUGAAGCGCCUCGAGGCUAUCCGCGCACGGAAGCCCUACCACGCAAUUGCUGAGGACGGGAGCGGCUGGGUGUCGGUGUCGGAUCCCUCGAAGCUCUCUGAUGUCGCCAAAGGCGGCGGCGUUGGUGAUCUCUCCCCACCGCGGCAGCCCCGUGCGCGGUUUGACACCCCCUCUCCAGAGCGGAGUCCGGACCGGCCGGACCUAUCUCCUCUGCGGCGGCAGCAAAAGAGUGAUGAAAAUGUGGAGUAUACGCCACCGCCGACCAGGAAGUUAUCUGAGGAUUUAGCGCCUCCGAGAAAGGGUCGGGGCCGAAUUGAUUCUCCUCCCCGGCGGCAUGUGCGCCAUGACUCAAAGGAGCCUCCGGACAUUUCUCCUCCGAGGAGCCGCAGGGGUGAUGCGAAGGUGAAGGAUAUGUCACCGCCGAGGAGGAAGUUACCUGAGAAUUUAUCUCCUCCGAGAAAGGGUCGUAGGCAGGUUGCUGAUGGUGAGGAGCUCUCUCCUCCCCGUAGGCGUGUGCGCCAUGACUCUGAGGAGCUUCUGGACCGUUCUCUUUCGAGGAGAAGUCACAAGGGCGACGGCAAGGUGGAGGAUAUGUCACCCCCUAGGAGGAAGGUAUCUGAGGAUCUAUCUCCUCUGAGAAAAGCUUGGAGGACGGUAGCUACUGAUCGUUCCCCCGAACGGAAAGCUGGGGAGGGCCCGCCAGAGGACAUUUCUCCUCCUUGGCAGCGCGGCCCCCAUGACUCAGAGGAGCCUACGGACCUUUCUCCUCCAAGGCGAAGCCAAAAGGGACGGGCCGUCGACCAAUCUCCAUCCCGUAAAGCUCAUGGUUCUCCUGCUGCAGACCUUCUUGCUCUGCGAAGGAACCGGAAGGAUUCUUCACCAGAUCUUUCUCCACCUAGAAGACGGAAGGAGGUGGCUUUGGGAAAGGAGCCACCUAGAGCCGGGUUAUUUUCCAAGCAGGAGUUCAAAGAAGAGAUCGACAAGAAGAGGGAGGAACAGAAAUCUAGAUUUGCUUCCAUUGAUCCUUCGAAGAGUGGAAGAGGAGCAGAGCCAGUAUUUCGCGAUAAAUCAGGAAAAAUUAUAUCAAAGGAAGAACUGUUAAAAUCAAAGGAAGAUGACAAGCCAAAGGAAGUGAAAUUGGAAUGGGGUAAGGGCUUAGCUCAAAAGCGUGAAGCUGAGGCUAGAGCACUAGAGCUAGAGAUUGAGAAGGAUAAACCUUUUGCACGAUCAAGAGAUGAUCCAGAUCUCGAUAAAAUGUUGAAGGAGAGGAUCCGAUGGGGUGAUCCGAUGGCACAUCUAGUUAAGCGGAAGAACCCGGAGCCUAUUUUGGAAGAUUUAGGUGUUGAUGUGAAGAUGAAAGAGUCUGGCUUUAUAAUUCCUCAGACAAUUCCGAGUCACAGUUGGCUGAAACGUGGAAUAGAUUUCCCUCCUAAUCGCUAUGGUAUAAGGCCAGGCCGGCACUGGGAUGGAGUAGAUCGUAGCAAUGGAUUUGAGAAAGAAUUGUUUAAGAGACAGAACGAGAAGCAGGCAACCGAGCAAGAAGCUUUUUUAUGGUCCGUCUCUGAUAUGUGACACGCUCAGUAUGGUACCAUCCUGCUAGAUAAUUCCUUGUAUAUUUGCACUAUAAAGCUUCUGCUGCUAUACUGGAAUAUUGUUGUUUUGUGUAAGUUGGUAUCAUUCUUAAAAGUUUUGCUGUAACCUAGAUGAGCGAGAAAUGUUCUUCCUUUUUGAUAUUCACAGUCACCGAUCGUGUUUCUACACGACAGGAAUCUCCUGGUUUCUAGAGCGGAGAGCAUUGGACUGUCGUGCCUCUGUCAUUGUCGCAUAACAACAGUUGCAACUCCUGGGUCCAUUGGGCAGAUGUUUGACUAAGUUCUCAUUUUGAUUUUAAGCAGCGGAGCUCGAUGAUGUAUGGCCGAGGACGCCAAACGAGGUUUGUUUGUCAAUGGGAAAAUCUAAAACUCAGGCCUCGUUUUGUAUUAUUGUUCUUUCUUUAGCUUUUUAUAUUAGUGUAGGGUUUGCGCUUUGCUGCCUAUA